CCCGGUGGGGCGGCCGCCCUCGGGCUGGCGGAGGCGCCGGAGGAGCCCCCGAGCUGCAGCCGUCUCCCUCGGGCUGCUGCCGGUGCUGCGGGCGGAGGCGGCUCCGCCCGUGUUGGGCGCUGCGAGCAGGGAGCGCUGCGGUAUCGCCGGCAUGACGGGGCUGCUGCCUGCGUUAGUGCUCGUGGCUCUUUGUGCCGUGACAGCGGAUGGAGCGGCGCUGGGCGGUAAAGCCAGAGAUGGCCGGGAGAAUGCCCAGCGCAGGGAGCAGGCGGGCUGUAUGCUUCGGAUGGCACAGCACCCGUGACUUUUUUUUUCCUCUAAAUCGGGAGUAAAUAUAGCUGAGUUCAGUAAUGUAUUUGCUGCAGCUCUGCUUACCCAAGCUUUGGGUUCCUUCUGUCCCACUGGGAGUUGCCCAAUUUGGUUGCAUCUGGUGAAAUUCACCCUGAGACCUUGCAGAACCAGCUCCAACUACGUGCGAGCCAUUUGCAGUUCUCUCCAGACGCCUGGAGAAUGGGCGACGUUUCUGAGGAUCCGGCGAGCGUGCUUCUGUCAAAACUCAGUCUGUGAAAUUCCUGGGGAAAACCCUUCUGUGUUCUGAAGGGUUCAAACUCUGGCGAGGAUCCAGUUAUCAGGUGCUCACCUGGAUGGUUCCAGCUGCCAAAGGUAACACUUGUACUCUUGCCCUGUAGUUUACAUCUAUUGUAUUUUUGUUAUUUUGCAGGAUUUUUUGUCUUUGCAAAAUAUUGUGCAUUUCACUCUUUGGAACCUCUCAGAUGGUUCUUUGGUGCAGCACCACCCCAGGGGACACUUGGCUGCUGUCCUGAAGGGUUUGGUCGCUAGAAUUGUAAAUCCUGGAGUGUUUAUAAGUCUUCUGUCCCCAGGGAGGUGUCAUGCUUUGUUUACUUUUGUUCUGUUGGUUAGGCGCUGCUUCUCGUUGCAAGUACGAAUUUCAAACUGCCCUGUUCUUAUUUUAACUGUUUUCCUGGUUCUCUCCGCCCGGCAGGGAAAGACUCUCGUAUCCUUGUCGUCGGGCUCGGUGCUGUCCAAAAAGAUACAGAGACUAAAAAAAUCAUAAGAAGCAAAAUAUGACUGCAGGGAAAAGAAGCUGGAGAGAACAGAAGACUCAUCACGGCGGGACAGUGUGAAGACUGAAAGUGUAAGAAGAUGCGGAGGGAAAGAGAGAAUCUGACAGGAGCAGCGAACGCACGAGUGCACGAAUUUUGCUUUUUUGCUUGGAUGUAAACUCAGGCGUUGAAAGGAAUUUGGGAGUGAGAAGGGACAUUUCAGAAGGAGAAGAAGCAAAAGAAGUUGUUGUUGUUGCUACAG